rnacentral:rRNA from 2 species
UCUGGUGUCAGCCGCCGCGGUAAAACCAGCACCUCGAGUGGUCAGGAGGUUUAUUGGGCCUAAAGCAUCCGUAGCCGGUUGUUUAAGUUUUCGGUUAAAUCUAUGCGCUUAACGUAUAGGCUGCCGAAAAUACUGGACAGCUAGGGAGUGGGAGAGGUACACGGUACUCAAUAGGAAGGGGUAAAAUCCUUUGAUCUGUUGAUGACCACCUGUGGCGAAGGCGGUGUACCAGAACACGUUCGACGGUGAGGGAUGAAAGCUGGGGGAGCAAACCGGAUUAGAUACCCGGGUAGUCCCAGCUGUAAACGAUGCAGACUCGGUGAUGCAUUGGCUUGUGGCCAAUGCAGUGCCGCAGGGAAGCCGUUAAGUCUGCCGCCUGGGAAGUACGUACGCAAGUAUGAAACUUAAAG